rnacentral:rRNA from 1 species
GGGCCCGCACAAGCGGUGGAGCAUGUGGUUUAAUUCGAUGAUACGCGAGGAACCUUACCAGGGCUUAAAUGCAGAACGACAGAGGUGGAAACACCUCCUUCUUCGGACGGUCUGCAAGGUGCUGCAUGGUUGUCGUCAGCUCGUGCUGUGAAGUGUCGGGUUAAGUCCCAUAACGAGCGCAACCCCUAUUUCUAGUUGCCAGCGGUUCGGCCGGGGACUCUAGAGAAACUGCCAGCGUAAGCUGUGAGGAAGGUGGGGAUGACGUCAAAUCAUCACGGCCCUUACGUCCUGGGCUACACACGUGCUACAAUGGUAGGGACAGAGAGUUGCCAACCCGCGAGGGUGAGCUAAUCUUCAAACCCUAUCUCAGUUCGGAUUGUCGUCUGCAACUCGACGGCAUGAAGUCGGAAUC